rnacentral:rRNA from 1 species
UACGUAAGGUGCGAGCGUUGUCCGGAAUUACUGGGCGUAAAGAGCUCGUAGGUGGUUUGUCGCGUUGUCCGUGAAAACUCACAACUCAAUUGUGGGCGUGCGGGCGAUACGGGCAGACUGGAGUACUGCAGGGGAGACUGGAAUUCCUGGUGUAGCGGUGAAAUGCGCAGAUAUCAGGAGGAACACCGGUGGCGAAGGCGGGUCUCUGGGCCGAUACUGACGCUGAGACGCGAAAGCGUGGGGAGCAAACAGG